UACAGAGGUCUCAAGCGUUGUUCGGAUUCAUUGGGCGUAAAGGGUGUGUAGGUGGCGCCGUAAGUCGGGUGUGAAAUUUCGGAGCUUAACUCCGAAACUGCAUUCGAUACUGCGGUGCUUGAGGACUGGAGAGGAGACUGGAAUUUAUGGUGUAGCAGUGAAAUGCGUAGAGAUCAUGAAGGAAGACCAGUGGCGAAGGCGGGUCUCUGGACAGUUCCUGACGCUGAGGCACGAAGGCCAGGGGAGCAAACGGG
rnacentral:rRNA from 1 species